AAACGGCGUGUUUCUACAGAGUUUAUCAUGAUUAGGCUGAAACAAGAAAAAUCAAUGACUCCAGAUGAUGAGAAAAAACUAGCAAGAGCCGGAACGAAGCAAAAUGUUAUCCUAUUUUUAGCUUUUUGUGGAAUAAUCCGAGGAGUACCUUAUGUCUUGAAGCAGUUUGAAUGAAGAAUCCUGCAUAUUUUGUAAUGGAAGACUAAUGUAUGGUAUAAGAUCCAAGACAACCAAAACACUGCAUGUAGACAGACAAUUUAUUUACUGUGUGAUAAAUGUAGUGUAUGAUUGUGUACAAUAAAUACAUAACUUUUUGUUUUA